GGUUUCUCUGUGUAGCCCUAGCUGUCCCGGAACUCCCUCUGUAGACCAAGCUGGCCUUGAACCCAGAGAUGCACCUGUCUUUGCCUCCCAAGCACUGGGAUUUAAAGGCAUGCACUACUACUGCCCG
rnacentral:miRNA from 1 species